UGGGGAAUAUUGCACAAUGGGGGAAACCCUGAUGCAGCGACGCCGCGUGAACGAAGAAGGUAUUCGUAUCGUAAAGUUCUGUCCUAUGGGAAGAUAAUGACAGUACCAUAGAAGAAAGCUCCGGCUAAAUACGUGCCAGCAGCCGCGGUAAUACGUAUGGAGCGAGCGUUGUCCGGAAUUAUUGGGCGUAAAGGGUACGCAGGCGGUUUAAUAAGUCGAAUGUUAAAGAUCGGGGCUCAACCCCGUAAAGCAUUGGAAACUGAUAAACUUGAGUAGUGGAGAGGAAAGUGGAAUUCCUAGUGUAGUGGUGAAAUACGUAGAUAUUAGGAGGAAUACCAGUAGCGAGGGCGACUUUCUGGACACAAACUGACGCUGAGGUACGAAAGCGUGGGGAGCAAACAGG
rnacentral:rRNA from 1 species